CACGAUUGCAGACACAACAGAUGCUUCUUCAUCUCACUGGUCUCUAGAGGAAGGAAGAGAUCUUGUCUGAAGCAAAUGAGUGCCUUAGAAGAAAAGAAAAUGAGGAGUUCAAUUGUUUCCCCAAAUUUCCUUCCACGAUUUUGUAACCCUUUGCAGAAUCGCAUGGGGAGGUUCGCAACAUUGUCUACGCAGGAAAUCAGUAUCUAUUGUCUAUCAUGUGACUAUGGAACUGAUGCAGAGUACCCUUCUUUGCA